GUUUGUUACAUAGGUAUAUUGUGUGAUGCUGAGGUUUGGGAUGUGAUUGAUCCAAUUCCUGUGCUCAAGCAAUCCUCCCACCUCAGCCUCCUGAGUUGCUACAACUACAGGUGUGCACCACAACAUCCACAAAAUGAUUUUAUUUUGCAUAUUUUUAGAGAUGGGGCCUCCCUUUGUUGUCCAGGCUGGUUUCAAAUUCCUGGACUCAAGCAAUUUUCCUGCCUAAGCAUCCUAAUUAACUGAGUUGAUAGGUGUGAGCCACUGCACUCCGUUAAGAAUAAACUUCUUAAUAACUGGGAUUUUAAGGGAAUUCUAUUUGUUCAUUAUUAACUUUUCCACUCUGUGGAAUAUUAUAGCUGUAUUUCUAUUUUACUAUAUUUUCAUUGUUUCUGAAUUGUAUGUUACUUCUUGCUGUUGUAAGUUUGAGACAGAACCUCAAUGUUACUAUAAAAAACACAUAGGAAUGUUCAGGUAAUGUGAUCUUUCCAUUGAUCUAUUCAUUAUAUUAAUUGAUAAUUUAUAAAAUAAAUCUAUGCAUUGUAAUUGAAUUAGUAAAGAAUUUUAAAUCCAUUUUAGACUACCAAAAUGUGUUUUCAGAAAAGAAAAAUAGUUCAGUUUUUCAAAAUAUGUUUUUGUUUGUUUGGUCCAAGGAAAGAGGGACAUCAGGAAGGAUGGGAAAAGAAGAAGCCACAAAGCCCUAUUUCCUUCCUAUAAAGUCUUGGUAGGAAAAAAAGGGUCCACUACCACUUGUAGCUAGGAGCAGGAAACCAGACUGAAUUGGGAGCCAGUGACAACCAGAAGCACGGACCACACUGCAAUCAUUUUCAAGGAAGAUAGAGUAGCAAUGAGGCAAUAUUAUGUCCUCAGAGAGGCAGUGGCAGCACUGACAAGCAAACUUGACAAUUGUCAUCCAAAGCCAAUGCCUGUGGGUACAGCAUUGCAAUCUCUAUGGUCAAAAGUGUUGUGGCCCCACUGGAAAGUCCUGGAGUAUGUUUGCUGUGACCGUUGAUGUUUUGCCAUCUCUUCUUCCUGUUUUAUCAUCCAUGCCCAUUUCUGCAGGUUUCUUUGCAUUUCUGCAUUGGUAAAUGCUUUUUUUAAUGCUUAAGUCAGAUUUCUCAUGUGCUCAACCAUAAAUGCUGGUUAAUACCCCUAGUAAGUGACAUGACUAGAAAUUUGAUGUUUUUCUCAGUUGGUUUUAAAUAUGUUUUAUACACUGCUUAAUUUGCAUGGUGCUGUAUAUUGUCUUGACAUCCAUCUAUACAGUUGUGAGUUUUUAAUAUUAGCAGAUUACAUUUAACAUAUUAUCACUGUAUAGUAUAUCUGCACACACACACAUUCCAAAACAAAAGUUUUAAAUAUAUGCAUUAAAACUUACCAUGUAAUUAAGUUUUAUAAUUUAAAGCAGGAGUCCCCAUUCCCUGGGCUGCAGACCAGUAUUGGUUUGUAACCUGUUAAGAACCGGGCUACACAGCAUGAGGUGAGUGGUAGGUGAGCUCUGCCUCCUGUCAAAUCAGAGGCAGCAUUAAAUUCUCAUAGGAGCCCAAACCCUAUUGUCAACUGUGCAUGUGAGAGAUUGGAUGGCCUGCUCCUUAUGACAAUCUAAUGCCUGAUGAUUUAAGGUGGAACAGUUUCAUUCUGAAACACCUCCCUCCCCUAUCCCAUGAAAAAUUGUCUUUCAUGAAACUGGUCCCUGGUGCCCAAAAUGUUGGGUACUGGUGAUUUAAAAUACUUUGGGAGAUUACACACUAAUCUCAAAAAGCCAGUCAAUUGCUAGAAUAUUUUGUAUAUAUUAAUUUAGAAUAAAGUAGAAAUCAGUCUCUAUUUUAUCAUUCUGCUAUUCUGCAACCUCUUUCCCCUGUUUUUUAAAUGGGUAUUCCUUGCAUUGGUCAUUUUUAUAUUUAUCAAACCAAAUCUCAGGACAUUUAUAUUUAUAAAAUUAAAUCAUUUUUAAAGAUGACCACUGGCUGUCAUUGUCUAUAUACAAAAUUCUAUAUGAAGACCUUUGGUGACCAUGCAUCUCUGCAUCCUGGCUCUUGGCAAGUUUUCUUUCCCAAAUGGGACUUUUACUUGGCCUGGCAGUUAUCACUAUCUUACUCUUGAAAUGGUACCUCCUUGAAGGUUGCUUUUUGGAACCCAGCCCUUAUGCUAUCAGGACUCUGCAGCAACGAGAAGAAGAGGCCACUGAAAGAGAAUCCAGCCUCUCUGGUCAACAGCAGUAGCUUAACCCUCCGUCAAGCCUACGGUUGGAUACGAUUGCCCUGAAGUCCCAUCUAAGUCCACAUGGAACAGAACAGUCCAGUAAGCCCACAUGAGGCUGACAAACACUUCCCUUUUUACUUUCAUGGCUACCCCCAGGUAUUAUAGCAUCUUUUUCAAUAUAUUUUUCCUAUUUACAUAUAUUUUCUCCAGUGACACUUUAAUUUUUUCUAAAAGGGUCUACUAUACUACACUUUUUAAACUAAUGUCAAUUACCAAAGACUUUCACUGCCUCUUUCUUCUUUUAAGAUUUUAAAAUUUGAAACGUUAUAUUCUUUAAAGCAGCACAAACUAACAAGCCAACAACUUGAGAAAAUAUAUUAUGUAUAUUUUAAUUUUUAUAAUAUAAUCAUUAUAUUACAUGAUGACAAAGUAAAUCAAUUUUUCUCACCCUUGUCUUCAUAUUCCUCUUCUGUCUAUCUAAUCACAAAGACAAUCAAAUAUCAAUUCAGUGUUUAAUGCAGAGGAAAAAAUUUAUGUAAGAGGUUAUAACUGACAAAAUGAAACUAUACAAUCUUUUGAAACAUAGCAUAAAGUUUUAAAUAUUAGAUUCAUUAAUAUGAAAAUUGAUUCUGUCUUUUUAUUAUAUUGACCCUUUAGGCUUAAUAAGACCAACCACCACCCCCAAAAUUAAAAUAAAACCUGGCUCUACUUCCAGUAUAAGUACCAAUAGCUGAAGCUCGUGGCAUUACUAAGUAAUUGUACUUACGGCUAUAUGAUCUAUUAUGCUUCUCAUUGUGUGAAACUCUGCCUACUUAAAGCUAUAUUUUAUUUUUCUUCCAUCGUGAAGAUCAGAUCUAGAGAUGAUCCAGAGAACAGCUUUAGUUAACAAGAAGGACUCUUAUUUUUUCCACCCAUGACCAGGCAAUUUUUUUUACUUGUUCUUUCUGUACGCUGUGUAACCUCACAUCAAAGCAUGUUUCCAACUCUGCUAAGUGACACUUUAUUGUAUCUAAAUCUGAAUAGGGCUUACUCUCUGCCCUUAUUUGUAACCCUUACCUGACCUUUUCCAUGUUAGCUUGCAGUUGCAUUAUCACCACCACGAUGACAGCUCCAUUUUGUUUUUUUAGCUGUCAUUUUCCCAACAUUCCAUUAGUUCUUCAGAUUGCCUUGUGCUUCCAACGAAUCAUUACAACAUAUUUAUUGAUUAGACUUCUCUCCAGAUACAAGGUGUUUAAACAUGAGUUAUCAAGAUAAAACAAUACAUAUUUUAUGUUUAUUUUGAUACAAAAAAAUCUAUUUUCCAAAUUAAGUAAUACUCUCACAUGAAUUUACUAUUACCUAUUCAGCCAAAUAUUCCAGCAAGUCAACUUAUAGGUUACAGAAACUUUUGAAAGAAGUCCAUUAAGUAAUUUAAAGGUAUUUGCUAACUGAAGUUUUCUAUUUUUAUUACCUAAGAAUAGGGUCGGCCUGUACAAUUAUAAAUAAAUCAUGCAUCUUUAAGCUUACUGAAUUUUUAAAAACUUUUCAUAAUUUAAAAGUUAUAUGAUCCAUUAUAUGUUUAUUUUGUCAUUAUUUAUGCUACAUAAUAUCUGUGUACAAAUCACAAAAUUAUAUUGAACCCAACAGAACUUAUGUAAGAUAGGAAGGGGAUAUAUUGCCAGGUAAUUUUGGAACUCCAGAAAUUGUCUUUGAGUGUGGAAACAGGAGUCCUAAAGCCACCCACAUACCACCACAUGUUAGUUUCUUUCAAUUUCUCUGCAUCAUGUUUAGUACCUUGUAAAUAAUAUUUUGUAUGAACAAUGCACCAAGUGAAAUAGACGAAUUGAGCUGCAGAGAGACUGAUAAAACCAAGAGGCAAGGAUUCUCAAAGGAGAGUAUCUCAGAGAAGAGUGGUGGAAAAAGGUAGAAAUCUGGAGAUCUACAUAAGAUCGCCUUCAGGUACUCAACUGACUAUUGAUUCUUGCAUGAAUGUAUAGACACUAUCUAACAUAUGGAAAAAAAGAUUUUUUAUAGGAAAAAAGAAAGAUUUUAAAGUAAGAUUUUGUAUAAUUUAAACUUUCAAUCAUUGACAUUUAUGACAAAGAUUUUAAUAUAUUUGCAGAAAAAGUCACUCUUGAACAUCUCUUUCAUUUGUGCUAUCAAUUUGCCUCAAUGUUUUGACUGCAGGUACCAUAAUAUUUCAACAUUAUAUCUGGAAAUUUUUUUGAUACUCACUUCUUUCUAAAUCUAGCUAUCAUUAUAAUUAUUUGAAUAGUAGGAAUCAUAAUCACCAUAAUUUAUUGAGUUACAAAAUUCAAGAAUGACUGAUUAUAACAGGUUUAAAUUUUACCACAGUUUACAUCACAUGUACCAGUAGAAUAUAUAUAUUCUACUGUAGAUAUUCUACUACAUAUAUUCUACCAGUAGAAUAUAUAUAUAUACAUUAUGUAUAGAAUAUAUAUACACACGCAUUAUAUAUAAUGCUUAUAUAUCACAUAAUACCUACAUGUAUGAAUAGAUGACUAGAAGUGAUAAGAAUAUAUGUCCUUGUCUGAUCUUAGGUUAAUAACAUUCACUUUUUCAUCACAUAGAUGGCCUCUAUCUUAUUUAGGACACUCCCUUGCACUCCUACCUUAUAGAAAAUUUUGAACAGGCAUAGGUGUUGGAUUUAGUCAAAUGAUUUGUCCAAGUAUAUUGAAAUGAUAUACCAGAUUUAUCCUUAAGUAUUGCGUAUUUUGAGAUAUUUUGAUACAUUUUUAAAUUCACUAAUUCUUACUCAAUAUUUAAUCAGUUGUUUAUCUUAUCCAUGGAGCACUCUCAUCAC
rnacentral:lncRNA from 10 species